CGCGUGGAGGGCGAUGAGCGAACGACCCGGGACUUGUCUGAAUGGGACCCCAGCAAGGCACACGUGGUCUUCAAUGCGAUGGGCGCUUCCAGGGGACCCGGCGUCCCUUGGGUCCAGGAAGUCUUAUACUGUCUCCUCUCACGGCCCCGACAGAAACGGUUUCUGAGGAGUAGAAGUGUCCUAAGUGGAUUGGAAAUUACAAAUGCCGGAAAGAACCUAGGGAUGGAAAGCAGCCCUCAACUUUGACCAACCGCCGUGGGUUAGGUUUACAGUGGGGAAAAAAAAUAGAAAUUGUGCCUGACUUCAAUGACCGCCACUAUUUGAAGCAAACUGCCCAUCCAAGCCUUAUCAUCCCCUUUAACACCCUAAUGUUUCUGUCCAUGUGGACUUCGACGUGGUCCUCUAGAAUGGUUUUGUACUUCCCCGCGGUAAGUCUGUACUGUCUUUGCCCUUUUUGUUCAAGCUCUUCUCCUGAAUUCCUGAUUCCCGACUUGGUAUUGCC
rnacentral:lncRNA from 1 species